rnacentral:rRNA from 1 species
ACUACGGGUGGCAGCAGUGAGGAAUAUUGGUCAAUGGGCGCGAGCCUGAACCAGCCAAGUAGCGUGAAGGAUGACUGCCCUACGGGUUGUAAACUUCUUUUAUAAAGGAAUAAAGUGAGGCACGUGUGCCUUUUUGUAUGUACUUUAUGAAUAAGGAUCGGCUAACUCCGUGCCAGCAGCCGCGGUAAUACGGAGGAUUCGAGCGUUAUCCGGAUUUAUUGGGGUUAAAGGGAGCGUAGAUGGGUUGUUAAGUCAGUUGUGAAAGUUUGCGGCUCAACCGUAAAAUUGCAAUUGAAACUGGCAGUCUUGAGUACAGUUGAGGUAGGCGGAAUUCGUGGUGUAGCGGUGAAAUGCUUAGAUAUCACGAAGAACCCCGAUUGCGAAGGCAGCUUACUAAACUGUGACUGACAUUGAUGCUCGAAAGUGUGGGUAUCAAACAGGAUUAGAUACCCCGGUAGUC